GUCCACGCUGUAAACGAUGUCAACUAGCUGUUGGGUAUAUGAAUGUACUUAGUGGCGAAGCAAACGCGAUAAGUUGACCGCCUGGGGAGUACGGUCGCAAGAUUAAAACUCAAAGGAAUUGACGGGGGCCCCGCACAAGCGGUGGAGCAUGUGGUUUAAUUCGAUGCAACGCGAAGAACCUUACCUACCCUUGACAUACAGUGUAUUUAGCAGAGAUGUUGAAGUGCCUUCGGGAACACUGAUACAGGUGCUGCAUGGCUGUCGU
rnacentral:rRNA from 1 species